AGUGAACGCUGGCGGUAGGCCUAACACAUGCAAGUCGAACGGCAGCACAGUAAGAGCUUGCUCUUACGGGUGGCGAGUGGCGGACGGGUGAGGAAUACAUCGGAAUCUACUUUUUCGUGGGGGAUAACGUAGGGAAACUUACGCUAAUACCGCAUACGACCUACGGGUGAAAGCAGGGGAUCUUCGGACCUUGCGCGAUUGAAUGAGCCGAUGUCGGAUUAGCUAGUUGGCGGGGUAAAGGCCCACCAAGGCGACGAUCCGUAGCUGGUCUGAGAGGAUGAUCAGCCACACUGGAACUGAGACACGGUCCAGACUCCUACGGGAGGCAGCAGUGGGGAAUAUUGGACAAUGGGCGCGAGCCUGAUCCAGCCAUACCGCGUGGGUGAAGAAGGCCUUCGGGUUGUAAAGCCCUUUUGUUGGGAAAGAAAAGCAGCAGGUUAAUACCCCGCUAUUCUGACGGUACCCAAAGAAUAAGCACCGGCUAACUUCGUG
rnacentral:rRNA from 1 species